rnacentral:tRNA from 1 species
CAUUAGAUGACUGAAAGUAAGUAAUGGUCUCUUAAACCACUUAAUAGUAUAUUAACGAAUACUUCUAAUGG